ACUGACGCCUGCCCGGUGCCGGAAGGUUAAGAGGAUCCGUCAGCCUUCGGGUGAAGCGGUGAAUUCAAGCCCCGGUAAACGGCGGUGGUAACUAUAACCAUCCUAAGGUA
rnacentral:rRNA from 1 species